rnacentral:rRNA from 1 species
UACGGAGGGUGCAAGCGUUAUCCGGAUUCACUGGGUUUAAAGGGUGCGUAGGUGGGUUGAUAAGUCAGUGGUGAAAUCCCCGAGCUUAACUUGGGAACUGCCAUUGAUACUAUUGAUCUUGAAUACCGUGGAGGUCAGCGGAAUAUGUCAUGUAGCGGUGAAAUGCUUAGAUAUGACAUAGAACACCAAUUGCGAAGGCAGCUGGCUACACAAAUAUUGACACUCAGGCACGAAAGCGUGGGGAUCAAACAGG